UGUUUCUUUAAUUUUACAUUUAUUUCCACAGACUCCACAGAAUGAGAGUCACAUUUGUGUCAAUCAGACUCUUCUGGAACGUUCUGAUGUCCGUGAUGAGGACAGAGAUGCAACUGUGUCUGCAUCCAGGACCUACUGCCAGUCAUCCAGAUGUAGCUAAAGAAAGAAGCAGCUGCUGGAGGCGAGGGAGAGCGUCCUGGCAGCAGAGGAGAUUUCCUUUUGGGAAGGUGUCACCAUUGACCUCAUGUCUGAUGAAG